rnacentral:rRNA from 1 species
UACGGAGGGGGCUAGCGUUGUUCGGAAUUACUGGGCGUAAAGCGCACGUAGGCGGCUUUGUAAGUUAGAGGUGAAAGCCUGGAGCUCAACUCCAGAACUGCCUUUAAGACUGCAUCGCUUGAAUCCAGGAGAGGUGAGUGGAAUUCCGAGUGUAGAGGUGAAAUUCGUAGAUAUUCGGAAGAACACCAGUGGCGAAGGCGGCUCACUGGACUGGUAUUGACGCUGAGGUGCGAAAGCGUGGAGAGCAAACAGG